rnacentral:tRNA from 1 species
AAGGUACUAGUAAAAUUGCUUAUUACAUUGCCUUGUCAAGGCAAAAUUGUAGGUUGAAGGCCUACGUACCUUG